rnacentral:rRNA from 1 species
GAUGAGCCAAGAUUGGUAGCCAUAAGCUACUACUGAUUUUAAACUGAAGAGUUUGAUCAUGGCUCAGAUUGAACGCUGGCGGCAGGCUUAACACAUGCAAGUCGAGCGGGGAAAGGUAGCUUGCUACCUGACCUAGCGGCGGACGGGUGAGUAAUGCUUAGGAAUCUGCCUAUUAGUGGGGGACAACAUUUCGAAAGGAAUGCUAAUACCGCAUACGCCCUACGGGGGAAAGCAGGGGAUCUUCGGACCUU